GCAAAUAAAAGCCGGCCGUUUUUGACCAAACUCAGCCACACUGAGAAUCCUGCUUGAAGAGAAUCAGCCCUGUGGAAAGAUGAAACCGACAGCCGUGCUUGUUGUUGUGCUACUUCUGGUGUUAGCCUUUCACUGUGAGAACAGCCUGGUUCACGGAUUGUGCUGCAGAAGGGGACUUGGAGUUUGCAAAACACAAUAUGAGUGCCGGAAAAUAGGGGGAAUCCUUUAUAGCAGCAACGAAUGUGGUAGAAAUGCUGGAUGCUGCAUGUAGCAUCUCACGGCAAAAGAAGACUGAUGGCUUCGCUUUUUCACUGAUGCUUCAUGAAGAAUUUCUUCGAAUUAAUCAUAAUUAAUAAUUAUUUUGGCAUUUCCAUACAUAAGGAUGAUUGUGAAAUGAUAAUUUAAUAGUGUUGUUGCAUCAACUAAAUGUUUUUUUUGUCCCAGUAUCUUUUUUGUUUAUUUAAAGUGCAGUUUUUGUCAUUUUUCUAAUCUUUGUUGUCAAAAAUGUCAAUAUGUUGUCAAAAUAUCAAAUAAAAUAUUUCCUUAUUAAAGCUUG